ensembl:lncRNA
GAUUGAUUGGUCCACUACGGACACCGAGCUCCUGCUCUACCACUUCGGUGGCCAUCAGUCACUUUCUUGCGCUAUCUGUAGUUCCCACGGGCACACAACGGUGCUAUGUCUUAAGGCCGCUAUUACCGCCCCCGUCCAUGCCUCCAAAACAUCACUCGUCCACGGCGACGUACACUAUUUGCAGGGACCUGCACUCGAAAUCCACCUGCCCCCGCCGGCAAACCAAGGCAGGGGCCAUCCCUCCAAGGGAUUCUAAAAUCUCACCCAACUACCCCAAUCAUCAUUGCUUCUCCAGCAUCAUUCCUUUCAUCUCACCCCGACCCCGGUUUUGUUGACCAUCUCAUCACGGGCCUUUCACAAGGGUUCCGGGUGGGAGUCCUUUCUCCGUUGUCUACUAAAUACGUGGCAAAAAAACUCCAGUCAGCUCUGGCAGAACCGGAAAUAGUGUCUGCUCUUCUGGCUAAAGAGCUCCUCAAAAACUACGUUAUCGGCCCAUUUAGUUCUCCCCCCUUUUCUUUCUUUAGAAUAAAUUCUCUCGGAGUCUCUACCCGGAGAUAUUCGGGGAAAAAACGUCUAAUAUUCGACAUGUCCUCUACUCAUUCUGACUCUAUCGCUAGCGUUAACGAAUGUAUCCCACCAGAACCAUUUUCGUUGUACUAUGCCACUAUCGACCACGCUAUCACGUAAAAAUCGCAGGCUAGGGAGCCUGGCUCGUUAAAGCCGACAUUACGGAUGCUUUUAAAAUAAUGCCCAUUCAUCGGUCCGAUUGGCCGCUGUUCGGUGUGAAAUGGCAGUCCAAAUUCUACUUUGCAGUUAGGCUAACAUUCGGGUGUAGGAGCAACCCCCACCUCUUAAAUUUGCUAUCCGAGGCCCUUUGCUGGAUCAUGCUAAAAAUAUUUUGGUUGCCAUUCGUUCUACAUCUGCUGGACGAUUUCUUGCUCAUUGACUUUCCAUCCAACCAAACCAGCGUCCUGGAUACUCUUAAGGGAGUGUUCAGUGAGAUCAGUUUUCCCUUAUCUAAAGAGAAAACAGAGGGGCCAGUUACCGCAAUCGAGUUCUUAGGGAUUCGCUUAGACUCAGAUAGGAUGCAAGCAUCCCUCCCGGACGAGAAACUAAAGAGGAUCAGAUCUUUCUCGAUGCGUUCAUAACGUCUGCUGGAGU